ensembl:lncRNA
GCGAGCUUUUCCUUCACCCUGCACUCUCGUUUCCCAGGGGCUGAGGACCAGGAUGGGGAUGGAGAAGGCUCCAACACAGCCCUGAGGCCUCUGAAACACUCAGAAAGCAAAGAAGAUGCAGAUGAUGGACAAGAAAUCGCCUGACCAGGAGCUGGGACCCUCCCUACCCGGGGGCUCCACCCUCUGGCUGCACUGGGGUCUCAGAGUGAGCCCUGCCCCCGCCCAUGGGUCCAGCUCUGCCCGUCUCUAGAGGAUUCGGUACACAGACCACCCUGCAGCCUCACUUCUCUAAGUGACCCGAUUCCCAAGUCAUCCUGCUGCCUUAUUUCUUGCGGACACAGUACACAGACCACCCUACCGCCUUGUUCCUCCAAGCCACACAGAAACCCUAGCUGCCUUUUUUCUCUCCAAAGGACCUGGCCUUCAACUCACCCCCUGCCUUAUUUCUCCAAGACACACUACACUGUCACCUCUUGCCUUGUCUUGCCGGUGGCCCUGAUGCACUAGUUCCCUUUUCUCAGGCUUCUCCUGACCUUCAUAGGAUCCAACUCCUCAGCAGCCUUGAGUCUGGAGGCUGCCUCUUCCAUUCCUCCUCCUCCUGCCCUGUGCCUGGCCUUCCUGCUGCUCACAGGGACACCGGCACCCUUCCUGCCAGCUGCAUGUUCUGGGCCAUGUAUGACUCUCCUGCCAUCUCCUCCAUGCCACCCGGCUGCCCCCACAGGAAGCAGGUGCCGGUCACACUGGUUCUCUGGGGUCUUCAGGGGCCAUCUUAGGGGGCAGCUUUUUACCCUACACCUUACCCAGUGCCUAGGGUAGGGGAGAAGCCUGGGGAGAGGGAC